UUACUACUUAUCAAUCUGUUGAGGCUGUUAAUCCCACAGUUGUAGCAACCAACAUUGAUGUAGGCCAGACCAUAAAAUUCCCAAUUUUUUGCAAGUGUCCAAACACGACACAAAAUCAACCAAGACUACUCAUAAGUUAUGUUUUUCAACCUAAUGAUAACAUUUCUUCUAUCGCAUCAAGAUUCGGGAUAACCCCACAAUCCAUAACACAAAUUAAUGGAAAUAAUACCAAGAUUCUUGAUACCCUUUUCAUCCCUCUUUCUAAUCUACCUAAUCUUACACAGCCAGCAUCUUCAAACACCCCACCCCCACCCCCAGCACCAGCACCAGUAAUUCAAGAAAAUGACAGAAAAGAGACUGUCAUAGGGUUAGCAAUUGGUUUAGGGGUUUGUGGGUUGCUGUUGAUUUUGAUUCUUGGUUUGUUUUACAAGGAGAAAACAGUAAAGAAAGAAAAGUAUGGUGAUGUAGAAAGGCAAAAAAGUUUGUAUCUUGGAUCAAAAAAGAAGUCUUUUGUUGAUAAAGAUGUUGAAGUGAAUUUGUUGGCUGAUUUAUCAGAGUGUUUGGAUAAGUAUAAAAUGUAUAAAAUGGUACAACUUUGGGAAGCAACAAAUGGAUUUGAUGAAGGGUGUUUGAUUCAAGGGUCUGUGUUUAAAGGAACAAUUGAUGAAGAAGUGUUUGCAAUCAAAAAAAUGAAAUGGAAUGCCCGCGAAGAACUCAAAAUCCUGCAAAAGGUAAAAAAAAAAACGUUACGUAAAAUUCUGCAUAUAUACGUAUCCACUGCAGAAUUGCUUUUGUGUACUACUAGUAAAAAUCAUUUUAUUAAGGAUAACAUGAACACUUUAAAGUUAAAUUGUUACUGGAUAGAAUAUAUGUCAUUCUUUUCACCUUUUUUUGUUUGUGUAGGUGAACCAUGGGAAUUUGGUGAAGCUAGAGGGUUUUUGCAUAGACCCUAAAGAAGCAAAUUGCUACUUAGUCUAUGAGUAUGUUGAAAAUGGUUCACUACAUUCUUGGCUUCACGGUGAAAAACCUGAAAAAUUGAGCUGGAAAACAAGACUAAGGAUUGCCACUGAUGUUGCAAAUGGUCUCUUAUACAUUCAUGAACAUACAAGGCCAAGAGUUGUCCACAAAGACAUCAAGAGUAGCAACAUUCUCCUAGACUCCAACAUGAGAGCCAAAGUUGCCAAUUUUGGUCUAGCUAAAUCAGGGUGCAAUGCUAUAACAAUGCACAUUGUAGGUACUCAGGGGUACAUCUCCCCUGAGUACCUCACUGAUGGGGUUGUAUCCACUAAAAUGGAUGUUUUCUCAUUCGGGGUUGUGUUGCUCGAGCUUGUGUCAGGGAAGGAGGCUAUCGAUGAUGAAGGGAAAGUCUUGUGGGCAAAAAUUAGCGAUUUUUCUGAAGGGAGUGAAGAGAGGAAGGUGAGGAAAUUGCAAGAAUGGAUGGAUGAAAGUCUAUUGAGGGAAGAAUUAACAAUGGAAAGUGUUGUGAAUGUGAUGACUGUGGCUAUUUCAUGUUUGAAUAAAGAUCCUUCAAGAAGGCCAGGGAUGAUUGAAAUUGUGUAUGCCUUAUCUAAAAGUAUUGAUCUAUUUUCUGAUGUUUCAGAGGAAGGACCAUCUCCAAGGCAAGUCACAGCAAGAUAGACUACAUAAUAGUACUUGCAUAUUAUGUAAAGUUGUUUUGAAGUGGAGUAGCAUUUUGUGUUUUGAGGUUUGUACUUUACUUUAAAGUUUGCUUCUAUAUAAGUGUAAUAUUACUCCUAUAUUAUCUUUUCUAGUAGUAGUGGUAAAUCCAAUUUCGAAUAAGAGCAUGUUUAAGGUUGUUCUAGUGGAAUAUAUAUUAGUACCACAUAAGACACUUGUAAUGAAUUUAUCUUUAUGUUAUGUUGCUUGGAUUCUUCAAAAAUGAUCUUGCACUUGUGUCAAUUCUUUAAAAUUGCAUGUAUUAGUUAUGCGGUUUUCUAAAUUACCUCCUAAAUCAGCUAUCAAACAUGGUAUUACGUAACUUAACCUGCAUAACUCAACUCCAAACCAACUACCAAACGACCCUGAAUGAAAAGUAUUUCCCCUAACUCUUGCAAUAGUUUAAUAUACCUUGGAAAAAGACGUAUCUCAGAAAUAGCUAGUCCAAACAUGUGAAAACAUUCUGGAGAAAAACAACAAAUAUAAACACGAGUAUUUUCUACAAUAUGGUUGACCAAAAACUCUUCUAGGUGGGACCAUCAAAUUGAAAAAAAACCCAUCUUCCUUUAAUGUUAAAGACAAUACCAUAUGAGAAAUUAAACAACAACAACCAAUCAAAUAAUGCAAAAAAUCCCCAUCACUCAUUAAAUGGUCAAAAACCAAGACUAUGACAAAAAACAAGAACUUUGGUAUAUAAACCUCUUAUAACUCCAUCAUAUUAUAUACACACACAUCUCUCCUUCAACCAAAACCAAGAAAAUGAUAACAAGACCAAUAUUUGUUUUUUCACUUCUCUUAUUCUUAUCAUUCAUAUUCAACCAAAACAUAAUAUGUUAUGCACAAGAGCCACCAAGCAUCACAGGAUAUACUUGUAAUCCUAACCAAUUCAAUCCAUGUCAAACUUAUGUGUUAUACAGAGCUAGAGGACCAGACUUUCUUGAUUUAGCCUCAAUUGGUGAUCUUUUUUCAGUAAGUAGACUAAUGAUAGCAAACCCUAGUAAUAUUUCCAACCCAAACACAACUCUUGUUAAUGAUCAACCCCUUUUUAUCCCCAUCACAUGUUCUUGUAACAACAUCAACACAACAUAUGGUAGCAUAUCUUAUGCUGGCUUUAACUACACUUUCAAAUCAGGUGACACUAUGUAUGGUAUAUCAACAUCUAAAUACCAAAAUCUUACUACUUAUCAAUCUGUUGAGGCUGUUAAUCCCACAGUUGUAGCAACCAACAUUGAUGUAGGCCAGACCAUAAAAUUCCCAAUUUUUUGCAAGUGUCCAAACACGACACAAAAUCAACCAAGACUACUCAUAAGUUAUGUUUUUCAACCUAAUGAUAACAUUUCUUCUGUCGCCUCAAGAUUCAGGGUAACCCCACAAUCUAUAACACAAAUUAAUGGAAAUAACACCAAGAUUCUUGAUACCCUUUUCAUCCCUCUUUCUAAUCUACCUAAUCUUACACAGCCAGCAUCUUCAAACACCCCACCCCCACCCCCAGCACCAGCACCAGUAAUUCAAGAAAAUGACAGAAAAGAGACUGUCAUAGGGUUAGCAAUUGGUUUAGGGGUUUGUGGGUUGCUGUUGAUUUUGAUUCUUGGUUUGUUUUACAAGGAGAAAACAGUAAAGAAAGAAAAGUAUGGUGAUGUAGAAAGGCAAAAAAGUUUGUAUCUUGGAUCAAAAAAGAAGUCUUUUGUUGAUAAAGAUGUUGAAGUGAAUUUGUUGGCUGAUUUAUCAGAGUGUUUGGAUAAGUAUAAAAUGUAUAAAAUGGUACAACUUUGGGAAGCAACAAAUGGAUUUGAUGAAGGGUGUUUGAUUCAAGGGUCUGUGUUUAAAGGAACAAUUGAUGAAGAAGUGUUUGCAAUCAAAAAAAUGAAAUGGAAUGCCCGCGAAGAACUCAAAAUCCUGCAAAAGGUAAAAAAAAAAACGUUACGUAAAAUUCUGCAUAUAUACGUAUCCACUGCAGAAUUGCUUUUGUGUACUACUAGUAAAAAUCAUUUUAUUAAGGAUAACAUGAACACUUUAAAGUUAAAUUGUUACUGGAUAGAAUAUAUGUCAUUCUUUUCACCUUUUUUUGUUUGUGUAGGUGAACCAUGGGAAUUUGGUGAAGCUAGAGGGUUUUUGCAUAGACCCUAAAGAAGCAAAUUGCUACUUAGUCUAUGAGUAUGUUGAAAAUGGUUCACUACAUUCUUGGCUUCACGGUGAAAAACCUGAAAAAUUGAGCUGGAAAACAAGACUAAGGAUUGCCACUGAUGUUGCAAAUGGUCUCUUAUACAUUCAUGAACAUACAAGGCCAAGAGUUGUCCACAAAGACAUCAAGAGUAGCAACAUUCUCCUAGACUCCAACAUGAGAGCCAAAGUUGCCAAUUUUGGUCUAGCUAAAUCAGGGUGCAAUGCUAUAACAAUGCACAUUGUAGGUACUCAGGGGUACAUCUCCCCUGAGUACCUCACUGAUGGGGUUGUAUCCACUAAAAUGGAUGUUUUCUCAUUCGGGGUUGUGUUGCUCGAGCUUGUGUCAGGGAAGGAGGCUAUCGAUGAUGAAGGGAAAGUCUUGUGGGCAAAAAUUAGCGAUUUUUCUGAAGGGAGUGAAGAGAGGAAGGUGAGGAAAUUGCAAGAAUGGAUGGAUGAAAGUCUAUUGAGGGAAGAAUUAACAAUGGAAAGUGUUGUGAAUGUGAUGACUGUGGCUAUUUCAUGUUUGAAUAAAGAUCCUUCAAGAAGGCCAGGGAUGAUUGAAAUUGUGUAUGCCUUAUCUAAAAGUAUUGAUCUAUUUUCUGAUGUUUCAGAGGAAGGACCAUCUCCAAGGCAAGUCACAGCAAGAUAGACUACAUAAUAGUACUUGCAUAUUAUGUAAAGUUGUUUUGAAGUGGAGUAGCAUUUUGUGUUUUGAGGUUUGUACUUUACUUUAAAGUUUGCUUCUAUAUAAGUGUAAUAUUACUCCUAUAUUAUCUUUUCUAGUAGUAGUGGUAAAUCCAAUUUCGAAUAAGAGCAUGUUUAAGGUUGUUCUAGUGGAAUAUAUAUUAGUACCACAUAAGACACUUGUAAUGAAUUUAUCUUUAUGUUAUGUUGCUUGGAUUCUUCAAAAAUGAUCUUGCACUUGUGUCAAUUCUUUAAAAUUGCAUGUAUUAGUUAUGCGGUUUUCUAAAUUACCUCCUAAAUCAGCUAUCAAACAUGGUAUUACGUAACUUAACCUGCAUAACUCAACUCCAAACCAACUACCAAACGACCCUGAAUGAAAAGUAUUUCCCCUAACUCUUGCAAUAGUUUAAUAUACCUUGGAAAAAGACGUAUCUCAGAAAUAGCUAGUCCAAACAUGUGAAAACAUUCUGGAGAAAAACAACAAAUAUAAACACGAGUAUUUUCUACAAUAUGGUUGACCAAAAACUCUUCUAGGUGGGACCAUCAAAUUGAAAAAAAACCCAUCUUCCUUUAAUGUUAAAGACAAUACCAUAUGAGAAAUUAAACAACAACAACCAAUCAAAUAAUGCAAAAAAUCCCCAUCACUCAUUAAAUGGUCAAAAACCAAGACUAUGACAAAAAACAAGAACUUUGGUAUAUAAACCUCUUAUAACUCCAUCAUAUUAUAUACACACACAUCUCUCCUUCAACCAAAACCAAGAAAAUGAUAACAAGACCAAUAUUUGUUUUUUCACUUCUCUUAUUCUUAUCAUUCAUAUUCAACCAAAACAUAAUAUGUUAUGCACAAGAGCCACCAAGCAUCACAGGAUAUACUUGUAAUCCUAACCAAUUCAAUCCAUGUCAAACUUAUGUGUUAUACAGAGCUAGAGGACCAGACUUUCUUGAUUUAGCCUCAAUUGGUGAUCUUUUUUCAGUAAGUAGACUAAUGAUAGCAAACCCUAGUAAUAUUUCCAACCCAAACACAACUCUUGUUAAUGAUCAACCCCUUUUUAUCCCCAUCACAUGUUCUUGUAACAACAUCAACACAACAUAUGGUAGCAUAUCUUAUGCUGGCUUUAACUACACUUUCAAAUCAGGUGACACUAUGUAUGGUAUAUCAACAUCUAAAUACCAAAAUCUUACUACUUAUCAAUCUGUUGAGGCUGUUAAUCCCACAGUUGUAGCAACCAACAUUGAUGUAGGCCAGACCAUAAAAUUCCCAAUUUUUUGCAAGUGUCCAAACACGACACAAAAUCAACCAAGACUACUCAUAAGUUAUGUUUUUCAACCUAAUGAUAACAUUUCUUCUGUCGCCUCAAGAUUCAGGGUAACCCCACAAUCUAUAACACAAAUUAAUGGAAAUAACACCAAGAUUCUUGAUACCCUUUUCAUCCCUCUUUCUAAUCUACCUAAUCUUACACAGCCAGCAUCUUCAAACACCCCACCCCCACCCCCAGCACCAGCACCAGUAAUUCAAGAAAAUGACAGAAAAGAGACUGUCAUAGGGUUAGCAAUUGGUUUAGGGGUUUGUGGG
rnacentral:lncRNA from 1 species